UGCAUUCACUACUGUAAGUCGCUCUUGAUAAGGGCGUCUGCUAAAUGACUAAAA
rfam:Salmo salar isolate Sally breed double haploid chromosome ssa08, whole genome shotgun sequence.